rnacentral:rRNA from 1 species
GCUUGUCUCAAAGAUUAAGCCAUGCAUGUCUAAGUAUAAAUGUUAUACAGUGAAACUGCGAAUGGCUCAUUAAAACAGUUAUAGUUUAUUUGAUAAUCGAAUUUACAUGGAUAACCGUGGUAAUUCUAGAGCUAAUACAUGCUGUUAAGCCUGACUUCUCGGAAGGGCUGUAUUUAUUAGAUAAAAAACCAAUGCCCUUCGGGGCUCCUUGGUGAAUCAUAAUAACUUAACGAAUCGCAUGGCCUUGCGCCGGCGAUGGUUCAUUCAAAUUUCUGCCCUAUCAACUUUCGAUGGUAGGAUAGUGGCCUACCAUGGUAUCAACGGGUAACGGGGAAUUAGGGUUCGACUCCGGAGAGGGAGCCUGAGAAACGGCUACCACAUCCAAGGAAGGCAGCAGG